rnacentral:rRNA from 1 species
UACGUAGGGGGGCGAGCGUUGUCCGGAGUUACUGGGCGUAAAGGGCAUGCAGGCGGUCCGACACGUUUUUGUGUGACAGCGGGUGGCUUAACUACCCGAGGAUACGAAAAGACGGUGGGACUUGAGGACUCGAGAGGGACACGGAAUUCCGGGGUGGAGUGGUGAAAAUGCGUAGAGAUCCGGAGGAACACCGAAGGCGAAGGCAGUGUCCUGGCGAGUGACUGACGCUGAGGUGCGAAAAGCCAGGGGGAGCGAACGGGG